GUUCUGUUGGUCAUCUGAAAGAACUCUGUGCUGAUUUUCCCAGGAUGGAGGAUGUGAGAUGACUUUUCCUAUCUGUCUAACCAUCGGUGCUGCCUUUUGACUGGAAGAACUUGGUUUUUCUCCUGAUGGCCUCCUACCUGAAAUCAGCUGCUUCUUAUGACGGUCUUAGAGGAAUAUUCCAAGAAAACAAAAUCAGAAGAACCUCUUAAGCCUAACCUUAGAAACUGCAUUUUUAUUUCUGCCACAUUCUAUUGAUUAAAGUAAGUUAUAAGGCCAACCCAGACUCAGGAGGAUGGAGAAAGAGACUCAUCAAGUAGAAAGAGGAUGGCAAAGUCACCUUGCAAUAUACCCCUGUCUUGCUGGGAUAAGAAAUUAGAGGCAUUAAAAAAACAAUCUACCAUAAUCUUUGUAAAGAUUUAAGGACUUAUCCAUUAGUCAUCAGGGAAUCUCUAAGAGGCAUUAAGCAAGGUAAUUACAUGAUCAAGCUUAUAAUUUUGAAAAUGAACAUGAAGACUGUGGAAGUCGAAAUAAAAAGAGAAAAAUUUGAAGUCAGC
rnacentral:lncRNA from 1 species